UCUCCGUAGGUGAACCUGCGGAGGGAUCAUUACAGAGUUCUCGCCCUCACGGGUAGAUCUCCCACCCACUGUUAUCGUUACUGUCGUUUCUUUGGCGGGCCGCCGGGUCCCCGGCCGCCGGCGCCUAGCUGCCGGCGCGCGCCCGCCAGAGGCCUUCAAACUCUGAAUGUUAGUGUCGUCUGAGUACCAUAUAAUAGUUAAAACUUUCAACAACGGAUCUCUUGGUUCUA
rnacentral:misc_RNA from 1 species